rnacentral:lncRNA from 1 species
CUACAGCAAUACAGUCAUGUGGAAGCUGAUUUCUUGAAUCAUUCAAUCUCUGAUCAUACUCCUAUCUUUAUUAAGUUUGGAAGGCAAAGGCUUCUUCAUCCUAAACCUUUUAGGCUUUAUUACACUGUUAUGGAGGAUCCUCAAUUUGAUAACAUUCUACAGCAGGUAUGGAACCAAAUAGGGCAAGGAUCAUCAAUGCAACAGAUCUGGCAUAAACUUAAAGAGUUGAAGUAGCAGCUGAAGGGACUCAAUAGGCACAUGGCUU